rnacentral:lncRNA from 10 species
AGGCGGCGUCUCCGGGAGCGGGUCUCCGGCUCCGCCGGCUCUUUCGCCACGGCCAGGGCCUGGCACCCACCUGACUGGCGGGGGCCCGCGCGCGACCUUCUGGGAGCAGUAGUCCCGGCGCGGGGCGUCGCGCCCAGUGACGUCAGAGAGCCCGUGGCCGGCCCUGGGUCCCACCGCUGCCGGCCCAGCGCUUUGGGGAGUGACUUCCGGCCAUGCGGGGCCUCUACCGCUGCCAUCGCGGUCCCGGUCUCCUGAAGUGGAACCCGGCUUGGAGUCGAGCGCGACCCCUCGCCCGUGGGCGCAGGCGAUCGAGUAAGGGUGGGGCGGGCCUCAAACCCGGAUCAGAACCCGCCCUGACCGGCGCAGAGAUACGGGACGCAGCCGUGAGCACUGUUUUUUAUUUCACCAUGGACCCAUCGGCGUGGGGCGCCCGCCCCGGGUGUCCUUCCUCCCCCGGGCAGCCAGAUGCUGGAACGGGAGGCACAUGUUCCGGCCCCGGCCCCUGGGAAGGAAAGAAAGGACCUUCCCGUUUCACUUGUCUCGGCUGAACAUGUAGCGGAGGAGGUCGACCACCCGGUGACUGUAGCCAUAUUCGUUGUCGUACCUGUGGAGGAGGGGUCGGGAGGUUCAAGGGGGUUCCUUCCGACCACCCCUUAGUUCCCCUCCCUCUAAGUCUCCAGCUCCUUCCCCCUUACCAUGAAAUGAGCUUCACGAAAUUGUCAUUGAGCGCAAUGCCGGCCUUAGCAUCGAAGAUGGACGAGUGGGUAUCACCGAGGAAGUCCGUAGAGACGACCUGGAAGUCAGAAUUUCAAAGAUAAGUGUGUCCGGCAGAGCAAGGACCUCCAGGAGCUGAGGCCCCGACUCUUAACUCUAUCGCCCAUCCAUGCAUUCAUCUAUAAUAUUUGAUGUAGCCCUACUGUGUCCAGUCUCUGGACUGGAGGGUAUGACCAAGUGCAGGGUAUGACCAAGGCACUGUGUCAGGGUCUGGCCAAAGGGCACAGGUCACAAACACCCUCAUGCUGUACCAGUACAUCCCUUUCCUAGGAAUAAUGCAAGCGUUUGGAAUGGGCCAGCAUGGAGGGCCUCUCUGAGGGGUGGCCAUGAGCCUGGGUCUAGAUGACUAGAAAGAUCUGACCGGCUGGGGCCCUCAGCACAGUGUCUGAGGUAGAAGGAGCUGCAGGAAGGGAGGACCUGAGGGUUUUAGCCCUAGUGUCAUGAAAGGCCACAGGAGUGUUUUCAAUCCUGAAAACGGGUGAUGCAAUGUGAUUCCAUUAAAACAAAAGAUCCCAGUGACUGUGGGAAAGUGGACCUGCAGGAGUUAAUGCAGGGAGACAGCACCAAGGUGGAUGUACAGGGGUCCACCAUGACCAUGGCAUCCACUCCUCACAGAGAAGGCAUCUGGCCAUGGCCUGGCCCUGAGCAAGUAUUGAAAAAAAUGGGAGCUGUUGUCUUUUGUUCACUAAGCAUGUAUUAGUCACCUGCUGUAUGCCAGGUUGGAGCCACAAAAGUGAAAAGGCAGCCCCUAAAUCCCUGUUUUCUUGGAGUGCACACACCACUGGGGCCAACAGUGACUAUGAAAUGAAAUUUCAGGUGAGGAAUAUGGCCACAAAAAGAACAUAUUUUGAGGGGGUGCCUUGCUGAAGAGGGAGGUUCCUCCAGAGACUUGGAGGAAGUAAGGACAGACUGUAUGGUCACCUGGCAAGGGAAGCAUUCCAGACUAAAGGAACAGCAAGUGCAAAGGCCCUGAGGCAGGGAGAUCUCCCUUCCUGCCCUGCAGUUUCUGACUUGGCACAUUGAGAGCAGCUCCCUGGCAAGUGGAAAUCAUGUCCCUUCCCAGAGGGCUCCUCCCAGGGUCUCCUCUCCUCAGCCCCUACCUCAUCCUCGGUGUAGGCAAGGAUGCCAGCCAUGGGCCCCUUGGCUGCUGCUUUUACAGCCUCCUUGAUGGCUGAGUAGGGGGCAGGCUGGGCGAGGCGGCAGGUCAGGUCCACGACAGACACAUCCGGGGUUGGUACCCGGAACGCCAUCCCUGUCAGCUUCCUGGAGAAUCCCCCAUGAGGAACAGGAGUCAGAACUUAGGGACGUUGCCCUCCAUUCCCCCUUUCCCUGUGGCUGGGCCAGGCCCCUGCUUUCCUCUUAAGGACUGAGGGCCGGGCCAGUCCAGUCCUCCUGGCGUAUGCCCCCACCCUGGUUGCAGCUUCUUGUCCUCAUACCCUUUGAGCUCUGGGAUGACUUUGGUCACAGCUUUCGCAGCCCCAGUGGAGGCUGGGAUGAUGUUCUGGUGGGCACCCCGCCCAUCUCGCCAGGCCUUCCUUGAUGGCCCGUCCACUGUCUUCUGGGUGGCCGUGUAGGAAUGGACUGUGGUCUUGGGGAAGAGAAGGACCAAGAUGAGGCCUUCAUGCUCCUAAGCUCCCAUGCCUCUUUUUUCCAGGACUAAGUUGGUGGCCUAGGUGUGGAGGCUGGUGGGGCCACCACCACAGACCACAGGAGGGGAUGUGUGCAGGCCAGGGUCCAGCCUUGCCUGAGGGUUGCACAGUGUUUUAAGUGACUUCUGCACUGGUGGGCCUCUCCUCCCGAAACCAGUCUCUCCCUCUUAACUCCAUACAGUAAGCAAGGCCCGGGAAGAAGUUGGGUUUCCCUGCCAUCCUUCCUGCCCCAGCCCCUCAUCCUCAACUCACCAUCAACCCUUCCACGAUCCCAAAUCGCUCGUGGAUGACUUUGGCGAGGGGAGCCAAACAGUUGGUGGUGCAGGACGCGUUGCUGAAACAGCCAAGGUGUGCACGGACACUGUGAGGUGGUGACCUCCCCAACUCAGCCCUCAACCUCCUCAGAGGCGCCAAUGCUGACUGCUGUCAGCCAGCCCAGACCCUUUCUCCAUAUGCUGCCCGGGACGUGGACUCUGUGACUGUGAGGCCUGCCCGGCUGCUUUCUGCUUCCCAGCUCUGACAACCUCGCCAUGAACCCUCCUAGACCCUCAGCUCCUGCAAUAGGAAGCUGGCUGCCAAAGGCCAGGAGGGUCCCUGAAAACAGACACUGCAUUAAAGAAAAAGCUCCUGGAGGACUCCUGAAGCCUGAGGCAGCCUUGGGGCAGCAGUGGCUCAUGGUUUACAUUGGAAAGGUUUAUCAUGAGUAACCGGGUGCUUUGCUUCUGUGAUUCUUGGCCAGUGUCGGUCUGUUUCCUUUGCCAUUGAGCCUGCUCCCCUCAAUGGGGGGUUCAAUCAAUGUUUGUGGGGUUUGUUUGUUUUGAGACAGGGUCUUCCUCUGUCGCCCAGGCUGGAGUGCAGUGGUGCAAUCAGAGCUCACUGCAGCCUUGAUCUUCCUGGCUCCGGCCAUCCUCCUGCCUUGGCCUCCCGAGUAGCUGGGACUACAGGCGCACACCACCAUGCCAAGCUAAUUUUUAAAUUUUUUUGUAGAGAUGGGGUCUCACUUUUGUUGCCCAGGGUGCUUUAGAACCCCUGGGCUCAAGUGAUCCUUGACCUCCCACAGUGCUGGGAUUACAGGUGUGAGCCACCGUGCCUGGCCUCAUGGGUUUUCUUUGUUUUGUUUUGUUUUGUUUUUGAGACAGAGUCUCACUCUGUCACUCAGGCUGGAGUGCAGUGGCACGAUUUUGGCUCACUGCAACCUCCACCUUCCGGGUUCAAGCGAUUCUCCUGCCUCCGCCUCCCGAGUAGUUGGGGUUACAGGCAUGCGCUACCACACCUGGCUAGUUUUUUAUUGUUGUUGUUUUUUGUAUUUUUAGUGGUGACGGGGUUUGCUCUGUUGGCCAGGCUGGUCUCAAACUCCUGACCUCAGGUGAUCCCCACUUCAGCCUCCCAAAGUGCUGGGAUGACAGGCAUGAGCCUCUGCACCUGGCCUCGUGUUUUUUUUUUAGUUAGCCAUUUUAUACGUGUUUACUGAACACCUGUCCUGUGCCCAUAUUCUAAGUGCCUUACCUGCAUUAAACUCAUGUAACCUUCACAACCCGAUGAGGAAGUGCUACCGCUGUCAUUUUUUGCAUUUUUUUACUGCUGUCAGGGCAGAGGGGAGGGGAGUGAGAGGGAGAGCCUGCUGGAGUGCAGGUGGCUGGUCCCACCUCGGGUCUGCACUCCUGUUUCCACUGCCUGAAUGAAUGAAUGAAUGGGCUGCCCUGCAAAGCCAUCACACAUGCAUGGUUAUCCUCUUCCUGUCUCCUGCUCUGUCAGUCCACUUUCCAUCAUCUGGCCCAACGAGCUCUUCUCAGAUACCCCCCAUUUCCUGCCUUCCAAAUUAGGGACACUUGCGAUUCCUCUGCAACAAUUGCUGAGUUGGCCUGAGGCAAAGACUGUGCCCCCAGAAGACCCCAGGCCCUCCCCAAGGCUGUC